rnacentral:rRNA from 1 species
UACAGAGGUCUCAAGCGUUGUUCGGAUUCAUUGGGCGUAAAGGGUGCGUAGGUGGCGCUGUAAGUCGGGUGUGAAAUUUCGGAGCCUUAACUCCGAAACUGCAUUCGAUACUGCGGUGCUUGAGGACUGGAGAGGAGACUGGAAUUCAUGGUGUAGCAGUGAAAUGGCGUAGAGAUCAUGAGGAGACCAGUGGCGAAGGCGGGUCUCUGGACAGUUCCUGACACUGAGGCACGAAGGCCAGGGGAGCAAACGGG